rnacentral:lncRNA from 1 species
CUGGUGCUGCUGACCAGCCCGCCGCACAGCCGCUCCUCUCCAGGUCUUCCGUUCCCUCCGCACGGACCCAGGACUGCACUCAGGGCUCUCCACAACGGAAUCCAUAAAUUCAGAGAGACAAGAGGACCGAUGACACACUGAGACCAAGAUCCCCACUCCAGCUCCAGGGACAUCCAUCUUCUACCUCUGGCAGCUUCUCUUGGGGAUCUCCAAGCCAGUCUCUCAACACCCGCCGGCCUCUUCAAAAACCGUGCGCUUUUCGGUGACGCGGGCUUCGAGCGCCACCCAGCGGCAUUUGUGGCGACGUUCAACAGCAGCAUGCGCCCUUUCAGCUACACUUUUCCUUACCCCCUUUGAAACUCCCAAUAUCCACCCAUCGCGGUGCCACUAAUAAAAAGCCCUUACG